rnacentral:lncRNA from 1 species
AGUUUUCCUUUUGCAUUUUCAGAUGGGGUCUUGCAAUGUUUUCCAGACUGGUAGGAUGGUGGAAGCUAUUCUUCACAGAUGAAACAGCAUGUCACUGAGGCAUGUUAGAACAUAUCAAGAUGCCAUUUUGGAAGGUCAGUUUCAAGGAGGUUAAACAUAAGCAAUAGGUACAGCAUUAGAGAGAGGUUUUUUUUUGUUUGUUUUUGUUUUUUGCCGUUAGCCCCAGUCUUCAUUCCUCCCCACAUCCAUGCCUUUGGCAGGUAACUGCAGUCCCUCCCAUUAAUAGGUCAGAGUAUAUGUCCCAGCUUUUUGUUUUGCUACAUGAAUUGCCCUAAUGAAGAGAAUGAGGCUGAAGGGACAGCAUGCUAGCUCUGAGCUAAAUCUUAAGAAAUCUUGCCUAUUUCCUCUGUUGUUGUCUCUGCCAUUACCAUGAAAAGCAGAUGCCUAGGCUAACCUGCUGUUCCCAGGAGGAUGAGAGACAUGUGGAAGGGACUGGAACUGAUUCACACAUCAACCCAAUUUUGAUUAGCAGAACCAUCACAGCUGACCCGUAGAUUCAUAAGAUUAAGUUAUUGUUUAAAGCUGCUAAUUUCUGGAA